rnacentral:rRNA from 1 species
GUGAACCUGCGGAGGGAUCAUUACCGAGUUAUACAAAAACUCCCAAACCAUUGUGAACCUACCUUUUACGUUGCCUCGGCAGGCCCGCGCCUACCCUGGAGCUACCCUGUAGCUACCCUGGAGGUGUGCCAUAGGGCCUGCCGGUGGUCUACCAAACUCUUAUUAUUACGAAACAGUCUGACAAUACCAAACAAAAUACGUUAAAACUUUCAACAACGGAUCUCUUGGUUCUGGCAUCGAUGAAGAACGCAGCGAAAUGCGAUAAGUAAUGUGAAUUGCAGAAUUCAGUGAAUCAUCGAAUCUUUGAACGCACAUUGCGCCCAUUAGUAUUCUAGUGGGCAUGCCUGUUCGAGCGUCAUUUCAACCCUUAAGCCUCUUGUUGCUUAGCGUUGGGAGCCUGCGUUACAGCAGCUCCCCAAAGUUAGCUGGCGGACUUAGGAUGUACUCCGAGCGUAGUAAUUUUUCUCGCUUCCUGCCUGUAGUCGUCCUGCCCCGGCCAUUAAACCCCCUAUUUUACAAUGGUUGACCUCGGAUCAGGUAGGAAUACCCGCUGAACUUAA